rnacentral:lncRNA from 1 species
GCUCUUCCUUUGAAUGAGGCCACAUACAAUGUAAAGAAACAAAGGUUAAAGGAUGGGACACCAUGCCCUAACCCAUUGCUCGAGUGGGCAUGUCAUGUGCUAUCUUCCCUUCAUCAGCUGCUUCAGAUAUUUGACUCUGCAUGAAAAGGACUGGCCUAAAAGGUGGCAAUCUAUCUUACUGUAAACUGAGUUUUUAUCAGGUAUAUUUCUUGUCUAAUAAUGUUAUGGUUAUGUGUGUUUUUUCUUUUUUGAUAACAAUUAUCUUCAUGAGCCUGACUUGCUUAGUUGUUUUGUAAUUACUGUAAAUAGAAAUUUGAUACUGGGUUAAUGACUAUUUUUCUUCAAACUCUCAUAAUCUAGAGACUGUGACUGUGAUAAGAUCUUGACUCUUGGAUUUAUUGAUUAUGACGAGUUUAAAGGAAGCUUUGAACUCCUGUGUUAAUUGAGGAAUGUUAAUUUUACUCUCUGGGUCUUUGGAGUUUCCAAGCUAUUCCAAAGAAUGAUUGGUUCAGCCUAAUUGGAGUAUACCUCUGGUGAUGCCACAAAGAGUACGACAAAUUUGAAAGCGUUUUGAAAAUGAAAAUUUUAGUACCGACGGACUUAGUCGGGCUAAGAUUUAAAAACUCGAGUUUUCUCUCUUUAUUUACAAUAACUAAACAAAUUCUAUGCGUAAAGUGUUGACUAACUAUUUCAGUCGGUUAUCCGAAAUUUCUAACUAUAUAUGUAAACAGACUUAGAGACUACAUUCUUUCCCCAUCAAUGACUAAUUGGUAAACUGUGUUUUCAAGAGAGAAAACGCUUAAAACACUUCGAUUAUAACUACGAAUCAAUUUGAUCUGUAUAGCUUCACUAUUCUAUUAAAUUCUGAAAAUUCCUGAUUUACCCACACCUCUUUUAUUCUUUUCCCCUCCAAUGGACCUCAAAAGGGCAUCACGGUUUACUGUUUUCUGCUACAGCACUGGAGAGAUCGCUAUCUGCAGUGCAAAAGGUUGACUAACAGUUGGAAAAAUAACAAUUCCAUACAUAUAAAGGAGAACCAUAUACAUACAUACACUCACCAACAUCACGUUUCUUAGAUUUAGUGCUCCUUUGGUAUUGAAACACAGAUAUUAAUUACAAUUACCCUUCUAAUUGCAGUGAUGAUAUCAAUAUCAGAGUUAUUUUUUUAUUUAUUAAUCUUUCUUAUAUAGGCAUUAAUCUGACACCUACUCAGCAAAAAGAGCUUUCAAGUUUCAAGUUUUGCUUAUUCCAAAGUCCAAUGCAUCUAAAUAGUUUUAUUUUUUUAAAAGAAAUAUAAUAGUAUUGAUUCAUAAUUAAUCCUAACUUAUAGAACAAGAUAAUUUUUUUGAGAUCAGUGGUAAAGUAUAAAUCUAGCGUUGUCAGACCGCUGUUAGAUUAAGAUGUAUAAAAAAAUAGAUAAAUAAAUAAUAUCUAAAUAAUUUUUAAUUUUUAUUGCAAUUACAAUAUAACACACUUUUUGAAUAAUUUGAUAGUACAUUAUAUAAAUUGAAUAUAAAGAAAUCCCACAUGAGGAAAGUCCAAAAAAAUGUUUUCUUUCCCAUGUGAGCCUAGUGAUCUUGUCCUAAAUCAAUACACUAAACAUAUAUGAACUUGUGGGUAACUUGUCAGUAAUGUCUUCAAGCAACCAUUUAACAGAAGAUCAUCAAUCGAUCAAGAAUCAAUAAUGAUUAUUAUGAAUU